UUUCCUAGUGUCCCCAUCUUUGCUGCCUUCCAUGAGUUUGAUCAUGUGAACUCCAUGGAGGUUGGCCACUGCUGGGCAAUGCAGCCAAACAAAGUGAGCAAAAGUAGGCUGGAGGGCUCCGUGGGUGAAUGGGGCUAGGCUGGCUGUGGUGCCCCAGGAGCCCUGAAGCCACCUUGCAGCUCUUCUGAAAUGGGUUGGGGGUCCAGCUAUCUGUAAUUGGGAAGUGAAGAGGAUGUGACCGCCAGGUGAUGCUAACCCUGAAUCCUUGGUGCCUGUGUUAUGCACCCUAUGCUGAAUUUCGGUUCCAGCUGUGUGCUAGGCCGGGUCUGACCUGGCAGAGAGGAACUGGCUCCACAGCUCUGGGCAGAAUCCACUGCCGCUUCCACGCAGGGAGGACCGGGGGAACCGCAGCCCCACUCUGAGGGGAAACCCUUGACACGUGUUACACACAAACAACACUUGGGGUGGAACAAGAGCUUCGCAAUGAUCUGUCUGGAACCCAUGAUACAAUUCAGCAUCUCUUUAGAGCUUCAGUCUAUCAAACAUUUCCAGACUAUUUCACUUAACCUUCACAAUUAUUGAAAUGCUUGGGGGGAAAAAAACUCCACAUUUAAGAUUUCCAAAGCAGAAGCAUCACCAGCAGCCUUAACAGCCAUUCAAAAAGAUAUCUUCUCCGGGCUUGUUACCUCUUAUCCUCCCUCUGUUAUAUUAUAGAACUCUUCUUAGAGAGAUUGCCUGGAAAGAGGUCAAGUAUGCAUAGACAUGGUCAGCCCCAUUUGCAACUGAGCAAAUGAGACUCAGAGUGGCAAAGUGACUUUUUCAGAAUCACAGCAGUAAAGGGUAGCAUUAGGAAGCUAAGCCUGAUAAUCCUGUUUUUGUCCUGUUGAGGAGAUAGUGAGAGCAAAGGGAAGUGGCGACAAUGAAGGAAUAAAACCAAGCUCAUCCCCCUGUUCCUCAUGCCCAACCCUUGCCAAGACUUUAGGUAACAGAAGGAAGAGAACACAUGGAUGGGGACAUGCUGGGCCUGGAAGAGCUGCGUAUGUCCUGCAGACCACACGUGUGGAGCCCAUGUCCAUGUGAAGGGGGUGGGGUUCCAGUCCUAGAAGCAGGAUCAUGGAAGUGGCCUUGGAGGACCUGACAAGGA